rnacentral:rRNA from 1 species
UACGUAGGGGGCAAGCGUUGUCCGGAUUUAUUGGGCGUAAAGAGCGUGUAGGCGGCCAUGUAGGUCCGUUGUGAAAACUCGAGGCUCAACCUCGAGACGCCGAUGGAAACCAUGUGGCUAGAGUCCGGAAGAGGAGAGUGGAAUUCCUGGUGUAGCGGUGAAAUGCGCAGAUAUCAGGAAGAACACCCGUGGCUAAGGCGGCUCUCUAGUACGGUACUGACGCUGAGACGCGAAAGCGUGGAGAGCAAACAGG